UACAGAGGUCCCGAGCGUUGUUCGGAUUCACUGGGCGUAAAGGGCGCGUAGGCGGCCUGUUAAGUCGAACGUGAAAUCCCCGGGCUCAACCCGGGAACUGCGUCCGAUACUGGCAGGCUUGAAUCCGGGAGAGGGAUGCGGAAUUCCAGGUGUAGCGGUGAAAUGCGUAGAUAUCUGGAGGAACACCGGUGGCGAAGGCGGCAUCCUGGACCGGCAUUGACGCUGAGGCGCGAAAGCCAGGGGAGCAAACGGG
rnacentral:rRNA from 1 species